rnacentral:lncRNA from 1 species
ACUCCCUUUACAGUAAUUACAAAGCAGCCCGUCUCCUAGUUUCAGCUCUAACAGCAGCAGUUAUGUAUAUAAAGUUUUUUCUUAUCCUCACAACAAAUUUUGACAACCAAAGAUUGUCCAGUCCAGUUAACUUGGACUGCUAGAUUCACAUUUGCUGAUGAGUGGAAGCCUAACAUUUAAAGAGACCGCUCAGAAAAGCUGUAAGGCCUCCGGGGGUCCCCGAACCAUACUUUUAUAGGCUCACUCUGCCGACUGCAAUAACAUCCACGCCUCUGUGCUGCUGCCUCUGCAUCCUUCCUGCAUGCUGUCGGGAGUCUGCUGCUGCUGCCAGGGUUAGUCUUGUACUUUAGUAAGCGGCUGUGAGCGCACAACAGGGAAGAAAACUUGGGUAAACUUUGCAACUUGAGAUGUGAAGACGCACAACAAGGAGCGAAUAGUUCAGGUAAAAACUGAAACAAGGACUUGUAGGAGCAGGGCAACGAAUUGGAUUGCCUGCUAAUGUGCCUGUAUUUAUUUUCAGGAUGCAAAGGAUAUUGUUUUGCUUUCUGGGCCUGCUUCUGAUGUUUCCAGCUCCUUUAUCCCACCUGAUGGCUCAGCUGCUGUCUGUGAUCUUCAGCAUGAUCCCAAUGUGUUAUUUAUUUCUUUUUACUGGUUUACAAUGACACGAGAGCAACAAUUAUCAGCGUAUGUACAAUAAAAGCAUCUAGAUUUUACUCCAACAUUGAUGAGGAUUUUUCUUUUGCUCUUUUGAACCAAAACAGUUUGGAAAAUAACCUGAAAUGGACAGAAAUUGAGAAUGAAUUUCUUUCUUUUCUUCUGUGUUAUUAUGAUGUGCAAAGACUAGCUAUAAUAGGAGUCUUUUAGGUUGCACCGAUGAGACAAUGUAAUUGUUUUACUUUUAUAAUGGUAAAAUGCGAAGGAUUAUUCAUACCACUGUCAUUUACAGACAGGCAAGAAAUUAAAGGCAUACCCUGAACUCUUGACCUCCUACACAGAGAGACAUUAGGGGGUGUCCAAAUUCAUAGGCUGCAUCCUCCUGAGGCCGCAUUUGUAGGCCGAUUAUGUCACAGCGACGCAACG